GUAUAAUGGGAAUUACAUUCCACACAAAAGGGAUCUCAAAGCCUAUAAACAGUGUACCUUUUCAAUCUCUAAGGGACUUUCAUUCCUUAAAUGAAAUAUUAAUGAUAUGUAUUGCCCCUGAAUAGCCCCUUAAUACAAGUCAUAUGUUGAAAUGAUUAAAUGCAAUGGACUAGCGUAGUCUUUGCAAGAGUCCUGAUGGAAAACUUGCUAUGAUAACAAUUACUGAUAUAAGGCCCAUUUUUCUUUUCCACAGCUAGGCAAAGCCGCACCAUUCCCAUUUGCUGGCAAUCUGGGCUCUUUACGCAGAACAAACAUUCUUAAUAAACUGCCUUAAGCAGCAGUAGUCUAUAAUGGGGAGGAGAGGAAAAAAUAAAAUUCCUGGAAUUUAUUUUCUUUACAGGAAAAGCAAUUUGCAAAAAGUCGGUAAGCAUUUUGUUCAGUCUAGUGGAGUUCUUCGAGCUUUUGGAAGCUGAUCCCAAUGCACCUCAACCGUAUGCAGGUUUCUUGGGAUGAAGUAAUACAUUUCACUAAGACAUUCCCUCAUAACAGGCAAAAAUGCAAGUAACUUCACAGCUGUGAAUGUUUUCAGGAGAACAGGACAGCCCUAUGUUGGAGUAUGUGAGGGAGACUGUUCCUACUGCUGGUUUUAAAUCUGAACUCUGAAGCAGGAAUGGCAAAACAUGCGUUUCAAAAUGGAAUGAUCUAACUGCUUCAGCAAACCUACCAGAGCAAUGACUGUCUCUCCAGGUGAUACUGGAACCAAGUAUUGAAAACAGAGAAGGUAAGUUUUGUAUUCUGCUGCCCUUUCAUUUAUUUUUGUGAAUAUUCUCCAUAAAGAAAACGAUAAUGAUACAGUGAAGCCACAAUGUCACAUGACAACAUUUCCCAGAUGCUGAAUUUUAUUAUGAAUUUUAUUAUUUCACUGUAUUUAAAAGUUGGCAUGUGGCAGCUAACCACUUUAUUCUAAUAAGUACAUUUUCCUGCUUUCAAAAUAUAUUAAAUCAUCGCUAAGUAGAUCAAAAAUAUAAUCUCUAUAGACUUUUGUUGAGGAUCAAAAUAACAUUAAUUUCUAAUUCUUAAAUCAUUAGUAAUUAAGGUACUAAAAGGAGAUGUGUAAAACAGUAAAAGUGUGUCGUCAGUACACUCUAGGCUUAAGUACAACAGAUAAAUACUAACGUUAAUAUGCAACAUACAAUGAGAAAUAUUGCUAUUAAGUAAACUAAAGUAGUUGACUAAGUAUCUCGUGAUAAAGCAGCAGAAAACAAAUAAAAUUAGUAGAUAUUUGUUAAGCAUCUGGUUAUAAUGCAUGACCUACUUUAACACUAAAGGAGUUUUGCAUAUUCAUGCUGUACAAAAUGACCACAUCUAGAAAUGAUGCAAACAGAGAAAUUAGGUCGAUAGGAGGAUGAUUUACAGUACCACAAUUUCUGUAUGCUUUCAUUCGAAAAUGACAUCAAACGUCUUCCUGCAGCAAAUGAAGGACAGAAAACGUUCUUGUCCUUAACAUAAGUGAAAAUAAUCAGUAGUUUCUCAGGCAAAAUGCAGUUUACCAAAAGGUGUCAUCACGUGUGUCACACUGCGCUGGUAGCUUGCAGGCCCACAGAUUUCCUCUUUAGAAAUGUGUCCACAUUUACUUGCAACAGAAGGAUGAUCAGCAUUAGCUGCCCUUGUAAGGGAAAACAUUCACAUUGCCUGUGACCACUUGUCUGUUUACCCUCAUCGAAAUGUAAGGCAAACUUUAACACUGAUUUGAAAGCAUCUACUUUCUGUUCUGUGGGCACAAAGGAUUUCUUCCCCUUCUUUUCACAUAGCCAAAAAGACUAAACUUGGAAAGGAAUGAGAUUGAAGUGUUUGCAUUGGGAGCAGAGAGUGUGGUACAAGCAGCUUAAUAUGGCAGCCUUUUUCUUUUCUGCAUUUUACCCACUCACUGGUAAAAGCAAAGCAUUUGUUAACUGUUCGUAUCCAAAUGAAUAAAGUUACCUAUGUUAAAAACAGAACAUAUAAUCAGUACCUCAGAUGCUAAAAAGAGUGCUAUUCAUAAAUGUGCCCACUAUGGAUUUGUGCGUUAUAUUCACCUUAUACAAUCUUCACUGCUUACAGUGUGCAUAAUGCUGUUUUGUAUUUGAUGGACACAUUCAAUGGCUCAUUCAUUACAAAUUCUUGCAUUAAAAUGCAGUGGUAAAGCCAAAAAUACCCCCGCAUACUAGAAUUAAUUUGGCCCGACGUUUUUAAUAUUAAAUAUGCAAAACUCUUUUGUGUGAUUCACUAUCACUGUAAAUUAGCAGCUAUUCUCUUUAAAAAUGUUAAACCUUCACCAAAUCACAAACCAUAAACAUUGUUCCAUUUUCUCUUUUACACUGAGUCUCCUACUGAAUCCAAAUCAUCCGAAGAGAGUGGGCGAUACAGGUCCUGUAAGAUGAAGUGCAGUAUAGAUUUGUUUAUUGUGAUUGAUUUGUUGCACUGCAACUGUUUUACAAUCUUUUUGAUACUGUGGACCAGAAGAUCUUGUUUAACAUAAAAUACACAUUUUCCAUAGAAUCUUUUUUUUUUUUCCCCUUAUUUUCAUACAGUUCAUUUUUAAUCAACAAAUAGAUGGCUGGAGUUUUAAUGCACAAAACAUCCUGAGGCAAUUAUUUUUUCCUUUGAUUCUUUCCUAUUAAAUGCUACUGAGGCAAUAUUUGGCUUUCCUGAAGACUCCUAAUCCUUUGAAAACAUUGCAUUAUGAAUUUAACCUUUCUUUUUUUUCCCAAAUAGACUCUGUUUCUCUUUUUGCUGUUUUGUCAAAGUGGUAGGAAAGCAAAUGCUUACCUUCUAUUACAAAGUAAUCAAAACUUGCUACUCACUGGUCAUACAGCAUGGCUACAGCAGCAUUUGAGCUCCAAAUGCUAGCACCGAACACCACCCAUUACCGACAAUGGGAUCUCUUCCACAUUUUGGGGUAUGUGAGUAAAGAAACAGCAUAUGAAAUCCCCCAGUCACUGGCUCUUUCUGAUGGUAGCCAAGCAACCAGCUCAUGACAGCAGAGAGAGUCUGAGUGUACGGAUCCACUUCAGUUUUCCAACACCCACUUUGAGCAUCCUCUGACUGAUCAGAUUAUCCUCAAACAUUGGAGGUGUCAGGGGAUGAAGCAUCACCCUACUCAACCUACAUAGUACAUAAAGCUUCUCUGAGGCACACAAUAGCACAGAAUGGAAGAGAAGGUUGAACAUGAGGCAGCAUGGGCUGGAGUAGUACUGUUUUAAGGUGAAUUCAGCCUAUCUGGUGAGGUGGAGAGGUGGAGCAACCAUGUGGCUGGCAGUUCUCUGCCUCCCCAGCACAGCCAUGCACUGCUACUUUUAGGCAUUUCUGGCAUCCUUCACAUACAGAACGUGUUUACAAAGCAAAACAAAAUUAAUGCAAGACAAAACAUUGGGAAGACCUGCAAGAUACAAGAACGCAUAGGAAUGGGAAAGCUGAUGGAGCCAGCCUUAGGGGCUUUGUUCUUUUUCAAUCCUGGGAAGAAAACUGAGAGGGAAGAAAACAUUAUCUAAAUGCUGUGCUAUGAAACAAAAGCUACCUAGAAUGAAUUCUUUACAAAUUUCCAAUUUACAAGUCUCUACAUGAUCUAUGCAGAUCUAUGCAUGACACAAAAGGGAUUUUAAUUCCCUAGAAUGGGUUUUAGUUCCCUUGAACACUUGUUCUGUAUGGGCACGUGUACAUACAGUAAGCCAUGGCACUGCUACAUGCUUUAGAAAAUCAAGACUUGAAUAAGUUUCUAUUUUUGGUUGAACAAUCUAGGGAAAAAAAAAAAAAAAGACUUUCAAACAGACAAGCCCAUUCCAAGCUAGUUAACGACUAAAAGUCCUUUUCAGCACAUACAGUUCUGGAGUUCCUAAGAUACAGUACAGAAAAAAGAAAAAAAUGGAUAGCAACAUGACAAACUUUGGAAUGACAUCUUUUAAGUGACUGCUCACUCCUCUGAAUAAAAAAAAAAUGCAUUCAGAAUUUGCAAAGAAGUCAUUUUUAAAACUGACUUUUAAUAUCUGGGGAAUAUUUUUGUGUUGACUUUCAUACCUACAUGGUUGUUUUCAAGAAAAACCAUGCACGAGAUUUCAGGAUCGUACUUCCUGCCCUUCCAAGUAGCUUUAAGUACUUAAAGCAUUUUAAAGAUUUCCUUCCUACAGGAACGGUUCUUGCUUGUACUAUGUUGAAGAGCUGUACUUCUAAGAAAUAUGAGGAAAAUCUAUUCAUUACUUUGAAUAUAGAAAUAAAAAGGCAAAACUUGCUGAAUUAGUGUGAUUUCUUGGACACAGAAAACUGAAAAAAAAAUCUUUAUAUACCAUAACAUUCAACUACUUCAAUUAGGCAAGAGGUACCUUAAAUCUAUUUUUUUUUUAUCCUGUAGGUUGUAGAACAAAUGUUUAAAAUAAUGGCAAGCAACCGUAAAAUCAGAUACAAAAUAUAAAACCUUUCCACCCUAGUUUAAAUUCUAACACUGAUUGCAAGACACUGGAAAAGCAGUCUCAUAUACUAUUGAAAAACGAGUUAAAUAAAAUGGGGAGGGGGCUGUGGGGAGGGGGCUGCUAUUGUGUGUAUUUUUUAUUGUUUUUGCCAUGCCAUCAUUUCUUAGUCUUUGCCAUUAACCAUACUAUGUUGAGGCAGGAACUAUAACUAUGUUCAGCAUGGUAACUGUUUGUGCCUUAACUGUUAUAAAUCUGAAUUUGAGAUAUUUCCAUCCUCUUUAGAAAUACACAACUGAGUACAUAAUAAUUUAAGACCAAGAAUCUUAAUUCCUUAUUAAAAAUAAAGAAUUAAACUGUAAGAAAGCACAGUAGUUCAUAGGGUGCAAGUUUAAAUACUCAGAAGCUGAAAAACAUAAAUGUUACCACGAUCCCUGGUUCGCCUUCAAGUCCUUGUAUUACAUUAAUCUUUACUACAUUACUCUUGCCUUCAUUGACUGAAUUUCAACAGAGAUUAUAUGCACAACUUCCACUGACUUCUGAAUUUAUGGAAACAACUCAGCCAUAUGCAAGUGAGAAAGGAAGAAACUUUUUAUCUUCUAUGUUCUGGCUUUUGAGGGUCUAACAUUUUAUCAGUAGGGGUACAAUCGUACCAUUUUCAAGAUCGUAGUACAUGUAUCACAGCAGCAUUCUUGGCUUAAUUUACAGCAAUAAAAAGCCUUGUGUCAAAGGCCAGAAUUGACUUCUUUAAAGGGUGAAUGACAAAACGUCAGUAAGAGAAGUGAUCCCUACUUUAAGUUAUCUAAUGCAUUUCAUAAUUAAAAGGAGUAUUUUCUUUAGAAAAUUCUACCAUCUGUACUAUUUCUGUAGGUUUUUACUAUUCACAGGGAGCAAACCCUUAGUCCACACAGUUACUUCCAUUUCAUACCUCGGGAUUCAAAAGCAUGACUUCCUUCCUCUCACCUGUAUUUCCCGGGAAAAACAUUGGCAACCUGCCCAGAGCCCUGAGCAUUCUGAAGUGCCAAGGCUACAACUCCCUUGCAACACUUGGAUGGGGAUGCCAAAGAGCUGAUCUAUUGCUUACACCAAAGGGAAUCAGGCUGUGUUGGACUAAACAGCUCCUACAGCCCAUGCAUCUGAUGGCAUGAGGGCACUCAAACCACACAAGGAGAGAAAACAAAUUACAGAGCUGAGCUAGCAUUCCCAGGUCUCAGCAUCUUAUUUCAGUUCUAAUGAAGCAGCUCUCUUGAACUCCACGUUAAGAGGGAAACCCAGAAACCUCACUAUAAACUUUAACCCCAGAACUUUUGGGCAUAGGGCAGUAAAACCUCACUUCCCAACACUGGGGGCAAGAAAGGCAGUGAAAUCAGUCUCCUUUUCAGUGAUACCAAGACUCUGUUAGCCUCCCAGGGAACAGAUUUACUGCUGCAGCUGGCUAGUCAGCCCUGUGGUUGAAGACAAAGCAAAAUGCCCUGGGUUCAAAAUUCAUUUCUGACAUUAUGGUACAAAAAAUAACAUGUCCACUAAAGAAAACUCUAACAGGUACAUACAAAAGAUGGCACUAAAACAAAACAGAAUGCUAUUUAGAUUGCUAAAGAAAAUUUAGAUUAUUAAGCACUGUUUUUCAUACAGCUGAUUUAGUCAUUGCAAUACACAUCAUGACCUUUAAUGACACACUCAGAUGGUUUUGCAUUGGACUUCCAGCUCAUUCACUUCACAAAGUAAACAUGAAAGGAGCAGAUAUAAAUUCUCAGAGCAAGUGUAAAGUUUGCAUUCCUUAACUCCUCAGUACUUUCUUUUGUAAACUAAAUAAUACUAUACCAAUGUAUUUUUAUGUGACUGUAUUUCAUGUUUCUGCAGCUACCAUUUCUUGGUCUAGAAUAAAGUCAGACAAGCAAAGCUCAGAAAAGAUCCCCUACAGAGGUCACUGGGGCUGCAUAUGAAUAUCUGAGAAGAUAAUUCAACUCUUUAACAAUACCCUAUCUCUCCUGUAAUUUAUUUCAAUACUUGUUUUCUACACACUUAGCAAUGUGAUUAUGUUACCACUACACAGCCCUCUGCUGUUUAUAAUACUGAUCCUAUUACACUUUUACAUAGGGAACCUGCAUAAAAAGAAGCCUAUCUGCCUCACUCUUCACAUUUCAAAGUCAGAAACUUUGUGGAACAAUGCACCACGUGUCUGAUGGUGCAGACCACAUGAUUCCCACACAUAUCCACAAAUGCUCACAGAAAAACAUUUUUUCAGUGUGGAGAAAGUACUGUAAGUGGUGGGAAGUGAGCUCUGGAAAGUUACUAAUGAAAAGAGACAGUCUUACAGCAGAUGAAAAUCCACUGUGCGCUGAUACCAUCCAUCUUAAGAGAUAACCUUACUUCCCUAAUGUGUAAUUCAUUUAGAACUUUGUUCCCUCUUCGGUGACUUAUUAAUGAUUCAUUAACAAGCCAUGUGAUUAGGAGCAAAUGGGCACAGAAGAAAAUGUAUUCAAGAAGAUUUCAGUACUGACUUACCCAUCUGCAACCUGCAUCUUUACUCUGUACCAGGAGACACACAACUACCUCGUGGUUUCAAGCUGCUCCCACUGGCUAUCUCUAUACUGCAAGACCACAGAGUACUUCCAAGUCAGCUUCCAAACGUAUAAGGAAUUCAUGGCAGAAAUCCCUGGCAGUACUGCAGCCUGGGAUAAGACAUGAGCAUGCGCAAUCCCUCAGUUCCCUGGUAUCCAUGGAACAGAAAGAAGGGUACACAGGCCAGAAGGAAGCUGUGCCAUGCUUCAGCUACUCCUGUUCUGGGUGUUCAGGAAAUCAGGUCUGCCCAAGCCUCCUGAGGUAAAGCAGUGUCUAUUGUGUGUGUAAUAACUUAUUUAGAGAGAAACUUAAAAACUGAAAAGGCAUAAAAGGUCAUGUGUUCAAACUGUGUUUAUAAACAGAAGCCUGAGAAAUAGAGCACUGCCUUAGGGAAGCUUUCAUUGAGAACAGUUUAGAAAAUAGCAGAAGAGAAGAUACAGAGACAUCUGUCCCGUUGCUUCUGAACAAAUACCAAUAAUUAAAUCAACAUAUGGAGCCUUUUGGGUUGAACGAGUAAUAUUCUGUUAGGUCAUCACAGCAGUAAAAUACGUACUACCAUAAUUCUGCAUGCUUAGGUAUGCUGUAGAUUCUCUGUACAAUGCAAAACAGUAGUGGGAAGCUACAGCUGCUAACAACUCUGGUCCAGCAAAGUGAUUGAUGAAUCUUGUGCUGCCUUGGUACUCAUAAUAUCUUCACUGCACAAGGCUGUGUAUCACAGCUAACCCACAGCUAGAUUCCACAGUACAUUCUUUUACCUCACUUCAAAAUCAAAGCUGUCUGUAGGUUUUGCAAGUGACAUAAUGCAUGUGGAAAAUUUAGAAGGAAAAAAAAAGUCUUCCACAACAUGAGUAUUUCCUUUCAGUUGUGAAGUGUUUGGAAAAAGAUAUUAAAAACAAAAAGUUUUGUGAAAAAAGGAGCAAGAUAUCCCCUACUUUCUCUUGAGAAUAAACCAAACCCCAACAUACUUAGCAUUUGGACAGACACACAACAGUUGUAUCCCACUUAAGAAUGUUGUACGAACACAACAAGCACUAUAAGCCAGGCUCUUCCACCCUACGCCUCUAAACACAAGGUAUCACUGGGGAGAAGGUGAUAUGAGAGUGGCUGUGCUGGCCACUCUCAGAAAUCAGUUUCCUUAUUUCCUUACCCUCUGUUUCCGUAGGCUUCCUGGGCUGGUGGGAGAUGGGCUUGGAGACUUCCCAGAGCGGGGAGUAGAAAGUUGGCUACCAGGGGUUCCAUUCACUAAAAUGACAUUAAAUUGAGAAAAUAAAUACAAAGCAUUAUUAAAAGCAAACAAAUAGUUAAAUCAAGAUAUCUCAUUUGCUCUCACUCUUUUUUUAACAGCUUAACUUUUUUUUUUUUUCCCCCCAUGUUUUAAGCAUAAAAUAAGGUAAUUCACAAAAUAAACGUUUCCUCGGAGUUUUGGCUCAUGAAGCCAUUUUUCAUACAGGAUGCAAGCAAAUAAUGAAUCUGAAAAGGCUGUUUAGUCAAUGACUGAGAACACUAUCAUAUUUUCUUCACCAAUAUUGUUCCUGCACUUGAAAGCAAUGGAGAGCAAUGUGCUUUGUUAACUUUAGCAGAUAUUUACUGCAUUUAAACUUUUUCAUUCUGUUCAGUUAGAGCUUCAAGUACAACCCAUCUGAAAUAAAAAACAGUUCUGCUUUAAAGAACAAACCAACUGUCAGCUGUCCUUCAGCCAUUUGAAGAGAUUUUUGCAUUACUAUCUGACCCAAACAUCACCUCAGACUCAACCCAGAAGGGCUUUCUAGGUGCAAACAAAUUUGAUGUAAUAUCUCAGGUCUAACAUACAUCACAUCAUCACUUUCUCAAAUAAAUAAGUUCCUUCAGACAUGCCAGUGCUUAUAAUUGUAGAAGCAUCUUUUCAUGCAUGUGACAUUAUCCAUUAAAUAAACAAAACAAUACCAGCAGAGGACAGAAUUCUACCACAAAGUAAUCACUAUCAAUAAUGUUCACACUGAAGCACUGGUAGAAACACUAACAAGUAUGUAUCACACAUCUCUGUAAAUAUUCUCUAAGCAAGCAGUUGUUAUAUCACAGUCCAAAGCUAUCAGCAUCAGGAAAAAAAGAACCAACAAUUAGAUUCCUAGAUUCUGAGUCUUUGGAGAAUAUUUACAUACUAGGAUAUCAACCAGGCAUUUCACUUACCUUCUAUGAGUUCUAGCAUGGACAAAAUCUGACUGUUUAACCUGACAACAGCAAGCAGCAAAAUUCCUGCUCUGUGCUAUGCCAAGCUGUAGCAAAACUGAGAAGCGACGGGAUUAGUUAAGGAUAGCUGGGGCUGCUCACAGAGUGAGCUGAACGCGAUGCAGGAUUCAUAAGCAGAAGCCUUUUCUGCGUAAGGCUGACGUCUUCAGAGCAGCAGUGGGAGGUGCAGGUGCUGUCUUAGGGCUACAUCAAAGGUGUCAAUUAAGCAUAAAGCUGCUGCUUCACAACGCUGAGCCACCACAACCCCCACUCGCUUGCCAUGGAGCCCCGAAAGCCUGAGCAAUUUUAUAUGCUGUGCACUGAAUCAUAACGAGGUGCCUUUGGGGGCAACAUACCAAAUGACUCAUCUGGAAAUCAAAAUGACAAUAACUCUUGUAAAACCUUGGCUGACUGGCAAUCUAGCAAAUGCUAAUUCCUUUGGAUAACACAGUAGGUAUUUUAAAUGCCUUUUUCUUGCUUUUUACAUAAUACAUUGCUCUCACUGGCUAACACUGGGCCCAUAUAUUAUAAAGAAGAAACAGCCAUACCUACUACACUACGUGGAUCAAUAAAAUACAGCACACUGAGUGAUAAAUCACAACUACUAAAUAGUGAUUAAGUGCUAUAAGCGAUUGGAUCUCAACAUCAUUUUGUGCAAGGCACUGUUUAAGAUAAAGGUGCAUUUUCUUUGUAUAACCACACCGACAACAAGAAAUAGCAACUGUAUUUACAUAGAAUGCUUUUACAGAAAAUCAUUGCACUCAUCUAGGCUACAAACUCUCUUUGUACAGAAGACAAUGGUUUGUAUAUAUCAGCACUGAUUCAAAUUUGUCCAAAGCAUGUGUGGGGGAGCAUAUGCAUAUGGAUGGACACAUUCACUGAAGGUCACUUCGGCAAGAAAAACACACAUAGCUCUGGCCAAUAGUACAGACUACAACUAAAACUGAAGUUAUUAUCAGGACUUCUGAAAACAAUUAUGAAAAGGGAUACAGGAAAACAUCAAAAAAGAGUUUUCUGUAGUCACAAACUUUUAAAGUUUUGAAGCAUUUCUUCUAAACAAAUCUGUUAUUGUUUAAGAAACUAAUGUUAAAACUACUGCAGUUCACACAGAGCUAGAUAUCAAGACUGCUCAGUAGUAAGACUUCUGCUCUGCCUUCUGUUUAAACCCAGCAGAUUUUCUUAUGCUUAAUUACUAUUUUAGAGAAAAUUUAAGACAACAGAUAUACUUUAAUAAAAUCCAUUAACACCAGGCACAAGUUCCUUUUCCUUAUGGAUUGACUUCGCCAUCACUUGAUCAUUAGUUUCUCCCAGUUAGUUAUUUCCCAUUACUACUGUAUUUUCUUAUUUUUCUUCUCUUAAAGAGAGAGACUUGAGGCUACCAACUGAACCAAACAAACAGAUCCAAUGGUGCAUUUGACUCGAUGCGUUUCCCACAUGUACCAUGUUGGUGAGUAUGUACUUUAGAUAAAAAAAGAAAGUAUCAUAAACUCUAAAAACCACUCACUUGCCAUCACCAUAUUGUCCAGAGUGCUUAGGCUAAGCUCCAAUGCUUUCCUCAAGAGUAUAUUUUUAAAAUGGAAAUGAUGAAAGCUGUUGUGGUGGUGUUAGAUGUCAGUAACGUGUGAAAUCAAGAGGACAGUUAAUGGAUUGAGUCUUCAGGAGAUCUGAAUGUGCUCACUUUCUUCCCCAUGUCCAAAAUACAAAGAUGCAAAAUACAUAAAAAGCACAUCAGGGUUUUUGUGACUGUACAAGGACUUCCUGUGAAAAGGUGUUUAGUAAACUCUAGAGUUGACAACUAGCUCUGGAGAUAUGAAUGUUUUUACCAGUCAUUAGGUAUGUACAGUGUAAAAUUUUACUCCUGGAGUAAUUUCUAUCUUAUUUUAAUCAGCUUGCUGUUGUAACAUGAGUUGUAUCAUCUUCCAAGCAACUAAACAUCCAAGUGACUAAAACAGCUGGUGAGCCAUGUACCUGAAGUAUCCACUGCAGUGUAGACUUCUAAAGUCAGGUAAGAUGAAUCCAAACCUGAGCACUUGAAGGACUGGAAUAUACUGGAGACUAAGCAAAAUUCUCUCCAUCUACCAAUUUGGGUGGAUUUUAUAUCAAGCACAGAACUCCAUGAAGUAAACUCUGAUGUCUGAAGGCCAUAUGGGUUCUGCAUUAGAGUCAACCCAAAAUGGGAUUUGGGUGAUGUGGAAUCUAUUCCCAGCUGUUUGUAUGCUUCUGCGUUAACAGCAGACAUAACUCAUGUCAUCCCAACCAUUUUUCUACUUAGGCUUCGAGUUCUGACAGAAUGAACUCUCCGCACACAUCACGUUGUCUGUCUUCUGGGUGCUUAAUGCAUGUGGAGAUAUAUAUUUAUAUCACUCCUAAUUAACAUGAUGCUUAAGAGAGAGAUCGCAACCAGGAAGAAAUAGAAAUUUCUCAUAAUUCCUCAGUUCACUGCAGGGGCUGUACUUCUUUAUUUACUCACCUAUAACUUCCUGGCUAUAAACUACUCUAGUUUCUUACAAAUCAUUAUAUUGAAUUUGUAAACUGAGUUGAUAUUACAUACGGUGGAGCAAGAAGAGGUAGGACUGAUUGUGACCACCUUCCUCAACUCCAUUUACAAUCAUGACAUCUUUCUCACAUAUGCAGCUUAUGAUCAGAUAACAUGGCAACAAAAAUGAAUAAAACCUGUAACAUUUCUGUAUUUCUGAACUGCCCAAAACUCUAUUUCUAGGUUGAAUGCUUUCUGGUUUGAAACUGCAUUCCUGUCCAGUAUCUGCACUACAUUUCUCACUGACUGACUGAUACAGUACAUUCCUACAGGGAACUGUGGUGUAGAUAAAAACAUAUGAAAUUGGUAAAUCACUGUUGUGAUUAAUCAUGUUCUUGAGCGAGGGAAGAGGUUUCUUGUCACUUUUACUCAUAAAAAGGCAGGGGUCAGAGACAUCAGCCCACCACACUGCCUUCUCAUUGUCUCAUGAAAAAGAUUUAUCCAUGCAAAAUUUCACAGGUGAAGUACAUAUUAGAAAGCUAAAAUAAUAAUAAAAUUAUUGUGGCUGCUCUGAAAAAGCAUAUGCACGGUCUCAGCAGUUGUGAACUCCUCUUUUUAACUGUCAUCUCUUGAUAACAGGGCAGCAGCCUGUCUUUUCACUUGCUUUUGCAGGGUCUGGAUACCCACAAAGGCAGAAAGAAACCCACAAAAUAGAAUACUGAAUCUGGAUAUUAAUAUCUACUGAGAUAAAUGGAAACCUGGUUUUCAUAUGAAGAUAUUUAAAAACUGGUGGAAAUGCUGUAAAUAGAGUAUCUUGAUAGCAUUCCAAUAAAUAAGCCAUCUUGAUAGUGCAUCUUUUUAUUAAGUAAUGAGAACAAAAAGUGAGAGAAGUUGAAUUAAGCUAUCAAGUGCCAGUCUGACAAGCUGCCAUUGCCACUGUACUAUAUUAAAAUCAUACUAUCCCAUAAAACUGCCUGCUAAUGUGUUAGCAUUUGUAGACUAUAAAAUAUAUUGAGAUUACUGUGUUUAUGAAAGUGGUUUGCCAAACACAAAAGUGCGUGUGUGAAGAGGAAAGAGGAGGCUAAGAGCCGUGAAGGCCGUUUUGUAACCACAAAGCAUUCAUGAUUAAGAUGUGCGACAGUCUAAACUGAAAAAAUGAUUUACAGAAGUUACAGCAUGUGUAUGUCAUAUUCAGCAACUGUUAGCUAGAAGGUGGUGAUGCCAGGUAACUACUUGACUUUGCCUCAGUUACUCCUGUAGUUUGUCACUGUCCAUUUCAAAACAAAGCUUUCUUUCAAGAAGAUUACGUAAUUACAAGGUGUUUUGGGAACAAGACCUUGGCAUUUAAUUCUUUCUGCUUUUGUAUUCUGUUUGUAUACAAUUUGUAAUUUUUGUCUGCAUUGCAAAAGGGAGAGAUUGUCCAGAGCGCCACAUUAAGCAAGUAGCUUCAUUAUCGCUCCCUAGAAAAGACAAGGUUUUGCAGGUUUUACCUAAGCAGUAAACUAGUUGGAAUAAAUAUGAAAUAAUCAGUACUGCAUUUUUUUAAGUGGUACUAAACUGCUCCUUGUACAUUCAGACUUUCCUAGAGUUUAUGUCAGAAGGCCACAAUACAAAAAGAAUCUCUCUCCCAUAAUAGACAAGGACUAAGAUUUCCAUAAAGAAGUUUUCAGUUCAUCAAUAGAUGAGAAAUGCCAGCAGAAUUACAAAAUAUCCACACAAGAGGCUCGGCAGGUCCUCACACACACAGGGCACACUGCUCUUCAUGGAGUGAUCUCAACAAUGGCACUUCUGCUGUAACCAAAGUUAAGUUACAGACAAGCUACAGGCACCAAAGUGCUGCAUACAUGGACAUGGCAGACAUGCCCAAAACCUCAGAUGACGAAAGCCAUCCUUGAAAACACAGUUCCCUGCAACCCAGUAACUUUCCUGUAGCCUCAGAAGGUGGCUAAGUAGUGCUUUAUUUAGACAGCAUCUACAUGUAUGUAAGAUCUAAGCAAAAUCUUUUGAACUAUGUUGCCUGAUUGGAAAGACUACGAUUCGCUCAGUCCAUGUGAAUGGAAUACCAACUUUAAGGAUGUUUCUUUAUUAUCAUUUAACUUUUUCAUCCUGUAAGAGGGUCUAACUAAAUCUACUCCCCUUACCUACUCUUGAUUCUUAUUAUAAGCUAUAAAAUGAAAAUAAUAUAUAUUUUUAAUGAUUAGUAUCAAAUACCAAUAGCAUAAAUGAAAAAUUAAAAGGAAGCCAGGAUCAAAGAAAAAAUCAUCUGGAAACCUCUGGGUUCAUAGGAUGACUCCAUCACUCCCAUGGGUUUGUACUCCUGGCUUCAGGAAAGUUUUGUUUCAGCAUAUUCAUUACAAAAUCUGUCAGCUGAGUAUCUGUAAUAGUGUGAAUAAAAACAGGUGACCCCGUCAAAGAAAAUAUGAUAUGCCAUGUUCCUUCCUCUGGGAUCUAAAAGACCUUCUUGAGUCAGGUGGCUGAAGAAGGGUUGUUUCUGGGUAACAGCCUACGGGUGAACAAUCAAACUAAAUGAAAACAUAUCUUCUUACAAAGGAACACAUCCACUUUUUUUUUUCUUUCUUUCUUUCUUUUUCUUUUUCUUUUUUUUUUAAAUUGAUGAAGAAAGUAAAGUAUAAGCAUCUGCUCUAGAGAAGCUUUCAGUAAGAUCCAAUUUCUACAUCCUGGAACACUUUUUUUUUUUUUUCUCUAGGGAACAUCUACAGUUUUGAUCAGCUUUAGUUUGAUGUGUAACUUCACAAAGCUUUCGCCCAGAUGCAAUUUUCAUAAAAAACACCCAGCCUGCCCUUCUUAAUACAACCUACUUGAGACAUUCUUCAUAAACAUUCCUUCUGUCAAUUGGAACAGAUAUGUAUAAGGCAAGUUACUCUUGCAAUAAACACUUGUCUCACAAAAUAACCAAAUUCUUGAAAUAACUCUUCUUAGUACCACACUUGAGUCACUGUUACAAAUAAGAUUUCAGCCAUUUGAAAUAUUUUAGGUGAUAGUUUGAGGGUGACAGGAGAAAGCACAGAGGGGAUGAGAAGUGAAAAAGAAGAAAUUCUGAAGGAGGCGCUCAAACUGAAAAGAAGUCAUUGCUUUUGUUAAGAGCAAGUCCUCAAAACUAUAGUUUGUAUUUUGGUGCCUAGAAUUCAUCUGAACGCAGUAACUUUCCUUUAAUUUAAUGGACUAAGGAUGCAAUAAUUCCAGCUCAUGCUGCUCUUGAUUUGAUUAAAAAUAAUGAUCAUGAAGAAGAAAGCAUUGCUUUCUUCGAAUCUCGUACCUCUACACCUGCACUGAGGCUGCCACCAGUGGUGUUAAUUAGUAGCUGGACGGAAGCCGACAGCUACUGAAUUGCUGUCAGAUGUUUAUACUUUGCAGUCACUGGCAAUGUGCUGAUACCUGGCCUCACUGAAAUUCAACAUCUCUUUCAUGAUAUCCUUUCCUGAGUAAUAUUUGAUGCCAACAACAAAAAAAAAAAAAACAUCAAAGUGUUUUACAGGCUUUGAGAAGAUAUCAGAACAAUUAGAGGCAAGAUUAUCUGUUGCACAUGGAAGUAGACUUCAGCAUUCUGUCUGCUUGUGAGGUGAUGCUGCUGCUCCCUUCUUUAUUCCCUGCUUCAUUUUGAAAUUCAGACUGAAAGCAUUUUGAAGCAGACAAUACCUCAAAUGCAUUUGUAAAAAACCAUAAAGCAAUCCUCCUGCAGUGAGAUUUCUGUCUUGUGGUACUGUUUUGAAACACUGUCAGACGUAAACAAAAAACUGAACAAAACACAUAAUAAUGAAGUCAACCCUUACCACAGAUCUUAAAGGCUUGCGUGUACUCUUUUAAGAAAUAAAGCCUUCUGUGUUUUUACAGAAAUAGAGGAUUCAACUGCUCUCAGGAGCCAGGGAGGCUACCAGGAAAACCUAAGUGUAAAUUUGGAUUAUCCCAAUAAGGGCAAGAACUAAUGAGUGAACCAGGCAUGCGAUCCUUUUCCUUGUCAACCAUGUGCCAACUUUUACGAGUGGAGCAAGAAUCUACCAAGAGGAAUCAGAUUCUUCCUAAUUAGCUACUCAUUUCUCUGUAUAUAGGCUCACAGCCUUUUUUUUAAGGGUACAAUUUAAGGAUUCAAUUGAUAAUGUUUUCUGGCCACCCUAUAUCACUAUUUUUCUCAACUUUCUGCCUGAUACAAAGUUCUUCCUUAAUAAAGUUGUGGGGGGGGGGUUGAAACGAGAUGAUCGUUAUGGUCCUUUUUAACCCAGGGCAUUCUAUGAUUCUAUGAAAAAAAUAUGCCUUUCUUUUGGAAUAUAAAUAUAGCCUAUGAUCAGGACAGCUGAGUUCUUCUCUACUAUUUUUUAUGUUUAUACCUAAUGAGAAAAAAAUCUAAGACAGUAAAGAUGAACUAAAAGCAGUUUAAUAGCACAGAGUAAAAGACACAUAUAUAAACUUAGCAGUAACAACCUGACAGCAGAAGUGUAAACUUAUGUUUUAUGUGCUGGUCAUUUAUGAGACUCUAAUAGUGAGAUAUUUAAUGUAAACAACAUGCAAAAAAAUUAUCUGCUCAUAUAUGCUGUUGACAGUAAUUGUUAUAUUCUGUUGCUGUUACAUAUACGUAAUUUCAAUAAACAGGCACUAUUGUUAGGCCUACUGGAUGGCAGAACAGUGAAAUCUGUAUGACGUCUCCACUUCAUGGGAGAAUUUUGUUUUUUCCCUAUUACCUAAGUGUCUGUACUUUAUUUCCAUUAUUCUCUUAUUGCAGUGUCUAACAACAAACUGUGUAUUUACAACAAAAUCAUUGAUUUUUUUUUUAUUUUUAUGUUUAUAUUUAUUUUACUUUAGUUACUUUCUGCUCUCUGUAGGAGAUUUAAAGCUUAUUCAUCUACAUUUCCCAAGUAUGUUUAAGUAAAAACAUUACUAUUUAAUGCAUGGCCAAAGCCAGUAAGGGAUCAUAUAGUCACCGUUGAAAAAAUAAUGCUAGUCUCAUGGCAGAAACAUUUUUUAUGCACAGUAGGACUGUUUUUCCAUACAAAAAUGAACAUACAUAUAUCAGUGUCCAUAACCUGUACUCACAAAUAAAAAUUACUGGCGGAAAAAAACAUCUGUAAUGUCCACAGACCAAGUAGAACCUCUUUUGCUAAAUUUUCAUUUAAUUCUGUACCAUCGAGCUACAAAUAAAAUAACUUGAAGUAUGUUUCAGAGAGAGUUAGUCUGUGUGCUUCUUCCUCACAACUUAUACUUCUUUCCAUCACCUUUUUUCAAGCUUCUCUAUUUCAGAUGUUCUUAAGACAUGUGGGAGGCACACUGCAUCCCAGCCCUCCUACACACAGAUCUACGCCUCUGUCUUUCAUUGUGUCACCCCCACUUUCCUCCUUCCCUGAUCAAGAACACAUUUUUUCUCAGUCUACUCUUGUGAAAAAUAUGGUUCCACUUGGUUCACACUUCCCCUCUUUGAAAGCAUCUAGGAGCUCCUUGGCACCUAGACCAUUCUGAUUGCCACCUGCCUUUCCCCUGAGGGCAUUAUGGUGUUGGAUGCAGGUAAGAAACAGGUUCUAGUAUGAUGUUUGUUUCUCUGUAGGCAGAAUACUUAAGGCAAGAAAGAGUGAGGCGACUUUCACACAGCUCUAAUGUUUGCCUCUUAGAAAAUCCAUAUUCACAAGUAAUGCUGCAACUGCUGGACUGGGUCUACUCAACUGGCUCAUACCAAGUAUUAUUUGUACUUAUGAGGAACGAUUCGUGCUGGCUUCAAUACAGACAAAUUAUCUAAUGUACUUCUUUUACUUAUUUGUUUCGAAAAAGCUGUGGGGAGGAACUAGUCAUAGACUGCUUACUAGGAGAGUACAAAUAAAUAAGUCCCUCCAGGCAGAAUUACAACUUAUUAAAGCUUUUGUUGAUCCUCCUCCAAUCUGUACCACUGGCUUGUUCAGUCAACUCUGACUUGCUUCUUCCUCAGCUAUCUUUUAUCUCAAAUUCACAUCUGCAUUUACAUUUUGUCUUUGCCCUUCUCCUCUUUCUCAGUAUGCUUAAUGUCUUUAGCCUGUUCUUUCCUCACUGCUGUAACUCCCUCAGAAACAAAAUGCAAAAAAAAAAACAACCCUGAAAUCUUCCAUGUGCAGAUACAGGCACUACACUGAGUGACUUGACUACUUUCUGCACUGUUUAUUCAGUUCUUAGUAGAAAUACUUCUUUCUGUCAGUCCUUAUCUACAAGAAACAAAAUCACGCGAGAACAAUGAAGGAAAAUGAAGAGCAAUGCUGGAGAAUAAUCUAUAAAGUAGUAAAGAAUUAUUUUAUAUCAGAAGACAUUUCAUCUCAUGUUCAACUGAGAGAAUAAGUGAAUUUUUACUAUCAACUAUUUUAUAUUUUACAGAAAUGUUGUAUUUUAAGCACACUGCCAGUUGCAUUUAAAGAGAUUGCUUGCUGUUUUUAAGAAGAAAUUCUUUCUUGCUUUACCUGAGCUGGUAGAAGCAGGAGACUUGCUGCGUCGGGAUGGACCUGGGCUCUUGGUGGUGCUCCUUCGUGAACUUGAAGCUAUUUUGGUAUAGGAAGUAGAUUUCACCACUCGACAUUCUAAAAGACAAAGAAAUUGCAUAAGUUAGCAAUUAAGAAAGCCAGCAAGAUUCUGAAACAGAAAGAGCAUGAAAAGCACAAACAUUAGCCCACGCUUGUUUUCAUUCAGCUUGAGGAGUUUUGCGGGAAAAUAUAAAAUCUGUAUAAAUGACUCCAUUAAAAUCCAAGUACAGUAUGUACCACGUUUCAGACAAAGAACUGCUGCAGUAAUCCAGACUUUCAGAUACCAUGGUUACUGCAGGUACUUAGGACAGCUUAAUUUAAGAGUGCUGAGAUGACACAUAAAAUUUAUUUGCUUUUGAAGAUUUCAGCACAAAUAAUGCAGUGGUUUUCUGUAAAUGAUUUAGUUGCAGUGUAAGCAUUUUUGUCAGCCUGGUAGUAUCCUCUAGAAGAACUGGAAGGCUGCUUUUAUAUAUCAAAAUGUUAAGACUGUACAAGAUGACGCAGGUGUCUGUCACUCAUGAAAGGUUUGAAGAAAGUGAAGCAGGUUUGUUGCUCCUGCUUAAUCCUCUGGUGAGCAACAGCCCACAUUGUAUAGCACACGCAAUUCAUCAAAGGUUGAGGGAAAUGGCACUACUUGCUCAUAAGAGACAUCAGUAAAAUCAGUGAAGAGGCGAAAUUACCCUCCCACUUGAGAACACUGCAAGAUGUUCAGGUUAGGGCUUAUAUACACCCACACAGCUCUGUAGGCAUUCUUGCAUUACGCCUGCAAAAUGGUUCUUGGCCUGAGGAUGAAAGAACUCAGUGUGCAUAAAGCUGAUGUCUUGCAGUCAUAAUGGAUACUAAAUUAAUCACUAGACAAAUUAUACAGUCAGGACCAAAAAAAAAAAAAAAAUUCCACUUCUUAGCCAGUAUACAAUUAGAAGUCUGCAGCAAUGUUUAUACUGCAUUCACCUCAAAAUGUCAGUAUACUUCACUUGUUUAAAAAUAAAUAGACAUUUAUUUCUGUAUCAGACCUGUUCCCCAUUUUCUUCCCAUGGUUAUGUUUCUCAAAAUAGGUUAAAAGAAAUAAACACGAUUUCUUCUUUCUCCCUAGUAAGAAAAUACUAUGUGCAAGCCUGCACAUUAUUUAGUCUCCACAGAUGAUCAGUGAAGCCUGUAACAUAGUUUAGACAGAUUAGAGAACAAAGAAAUAAAAUUGAGCAUAACUAAUUAACUUAAAUAUCUCCACCAGUGAAUGAUGUCAUGAAGUGUAUUUCUCUUGGCUGCCCUAACUGCUUGUCUGUCGUCAAGCUGUUGAAGAAGAUGGAAGCAAGAACUGAUGCAUUACUGAAGGAAUGUCCAGCACAUCUGAGAGCAGAGGACCAUAGAAAAGCCCUGGUCCUCCCAAAGAAAUUUUUCUUCCCAAACUCCUCCACCUUCCUAGUGGCCAGUAAUAGUAGUUAAUUUUUUUGUGUUGACAUUGUAUGUGAUUCAUUUAUUGCUAAUCCCAUUACAUAUCAAGUGACGACUGGAAAUGGAAGAAAACAUCUACUCUGUUGUAAUAGCUGAUUAUCAACUGAAAACAGGAGGAAAGAGAUGAAAGCCUUCAGAUAGACUCAAACAGGCAACCACAUCAGAAAACUUAUAUGAUGUACUUGCAUAAAUGGGUGUUUCAGAAAUUGUCUAUAAAUUUCAAAUGCAAACAGGUUCUUUACCUUGUAAACAAAGACUUAAAAUGUCAAAACAUCUAACUGCCAACUUCUUUGAUUUUGUAAAAUUAAGAUGUUAUCCUAGUGUAGGAAUUAGUCAGGAAGGUAAUUGAAUAUUCUAGGGGUCAAUGAGCAAAAAGACUAAAAUAAUGUCAUCUAGCGAAGGAAAACCAUCAGGCUAUAUUCACUUGCUUAGUAAAAAAAACCUUAAGAGUCCGUGAGGAAAAUAGCCAGCUACGUAAUGUAAUAUACUUUACUGUACAUGAGGCUUUCCUUUCCUUUCAUCAUAUGAAGAACAUGGCAUCUGCAUCCUUUCUUGCAAUUCAUGCUAUAGGCUGCACUUUAUCUUUCAUCUUAUUGCAAUUAUUAAUACCUACUUAUGUUUUGAAUACCUUAUAACCACCCAGACUUGUAAUGAGGUUAGGGAUAAGAUUCUACAUUCAAGGGUGCAUUCCCAGUCACAUUAUUGGAAAGAAACAGGCAGAAGGUGGUGUGAAAGGUCAGAAGAGGUAUCUACAUGCACAUCAAAGUUAUGUUUCUGGCUUACAAACAAAAUCAUGCCUCGGCCAAUAAUCAAGAUAGCACUUGGACCCAGCCUGUUCAGAAAUGUGAAGUAAAUAAUAAAGUGGGAAAUGAAGAUGUGUGUGAACUGAAAGAUGGAGGCAUUUUGUCACUGAGCACAAACUGGAACACAGGAAGUUCCCUGUGAUUUUGUUUUACUUUGAGGAUGCAUUAAGCACUGGAAGAAGCCACAUCCAGUGCUCUUUUCCCCUGAAGAAGUCCAGAGACAUAGCAAAAUCUCCAUCCUUGGAGACACUCAGAAGUCAUCUAGAAACAGUCCUGGAAAACCUUUGUUUGUUGGACAAACUAUUACUCUGCUGCCAGCUGCAGAAAGGUCUGAACUCCCAUGAACGAUUUAUGUAUGCAAUGAUACUGUCACAUUAAGUUUGGAGAAUUAAGUUUUACUGCAGGCAAAGACCUCACUCAGUAAGGACACAACCAUGGCUUGCCUCCUCUAAGACAUUACCAUAAUCUGCCUGUUGCUAUUGGAAAACAAUCUGUAUAUAAGGAAGGGAAAAAGGAACAAAAGUGCAUUGUUUCUAAAACCAUAUUUUCUAUUCAGUAUUUACACUGGCAAAGAAAUCAUAGAAUCAUAGAAUCGCUAAGGUUGGAAAAGACCCACAGGAUCAUCCAGUCCAACCAUUCGUAAAUAAACACUUACUCUCUUCUCAUCAUCAGAUAACUCUGAUAACUGUACAACAGGUGCUUGGUAAGCCACGAAAUGGAUUUUUUUCCCUAAAUAUCUUUUGAUGCCAAAACUACCAGAAAUAGAUCCAGACAGAUGAGAGUUAUGCUCUUUCUCACACAUGUGGGCAUGCUCAGCCAAGAAGACACAAUAUUUUUCUAUAGUAUGUUCAGUGAGGGAAGAAACGUUUCACAAAGCCCCAGUCCUUCCUCUCACUAGCAAUGAAGAUUAAAGCAACAAAAUGAUGAUAUCCAUGGUAACAUGAAGCAAAAGAAGGUCAAUUUCAAGGUCUGAUCACAGACUUUAUUGCUUUCCAACUCAGUAUAUCAGAUAAAUAAGAAUGUUUCUCCAGCCAAAACAUCUUGCAAUAAGAUGUUUGAUUGUAUAACUACAGACAGAGCGACAAAGCAGAAGAGGUUAACAUAGCAAAUCAGCACUGAGACUAACAAUGUAACACACUGCAGUGUCUCUCUAGCAAGGGAUACUACCAUGGGCAUCUGGGGCAUUUAAUGGACUUUUAAAAAUAAAGCUGAGAAAAACCAGGAAAUACCCCAGGGCUACUACUUGACAUGAGGGACCUCAGGGUCAAGAUAAGGGAUGGAAAGUGCCUGAGAUUGCACAGUGAUGCCACUGAGUGCACCUACUGGAACAAGCAAGAAGCCCAACAUCCUUGUGUGCUCCUGAUUCUUCCUAUUGUCAAAUGCAUAAAAUGUUAUCAUAUGGUAACCAUGGGACGCUAAUGCGCAGAAUCAUAAUGCCUCCAAUCUCCAGCUCUGUGAUGUUCCACUUCCAAAAUGCUUAAUUAGCUUAUGUGUUCAUUAGAUUUUACAACGGCAAGAAAGCAGCAGAGAAUAACUAAUCCACAAUAAAUACGUCAGAGAAUGAACAAAGUUAACUUUUUUUUCCAGAAAAGGUUGUGAAAAGUUGUCUAAAUUGCCAAGAGAUCAAAAAGGUUUACUUGUCAGUUACUCAGAAGUUGACUGCAUGAACUUUUUGAGCUUUUUUUCUGGGUUAAAAUACCACUCUCUGUUGCAUUUUGUCUUUUUUGAGGCCUGUGUGUAAGGGACAGAUAUUUAUUUUUUGGUAUCCUUGCCAAUCUGGUUCUCUAGGAUGAGAACAUUUAACUUGCUUCAGCAACAGCUGCAUCCUACAGAUAAGCAAAGCGAGAGGAUCAAGGAUGUCCAUGCUUGUUGGUAAGCCACUUUACUGUAAGCCUUAGGCUGGUACCUUUUACCACUGCUUAACAAUGUCAGCUUCAGUAUCCAUGUCCUCAGGCCAAUCAGUAGAUCAUUACUCCAUACUUUUCUUUUUAAUGUUGAGUGAUUUGUUCCAUGUAUCUAAUCAGUAAUGCAGCUAAUAAGAUUUUACUUUUUUGCUGCGUUUAUGCCUUCAAUUAAAACCAGUAAUCUUCUGUUUGCAGAACUAAAUUUUACUCUCUUCAGCAAAAGGGAAAUAGCAUCAUCUUCUCUAGUAGCACUGAUAUAUAACGUAAUUCACCCAACCCUACUGAUGAAUCAGAGACAGCUAUGGCUUGCAAUUACAAAAUGCUCAUAAGGGUAACUAUCAACCAGCUUCCAGAAAGGAAAAGGAUAUAAGGAGUUGUGCUGGGGUUUAAGUAAUUUCUAAUCUUCUGUUUUCAUGGCUGUGUCGACUUUAAUUUUGUUCUUCCCAUUCAAGGUGUUUCUGAUGUAGAUGAACAGUGAUGUUUGAGCAGAAUACAAAACCCUAAAGUUUUGUCCCAUGCAUUAAGCUAUCUGCUACUGUAAUUACUCAUUUUUGUGACAUCCUAUCAUUUGAUUUGAUUUCUAACCACUUUUCUGCUCGUUAUGAGGAUUAGGAUCCCUGACUAUUUAAACUGUGUCAAAUUUUUGUAGCAGUAAAUAAAUACCUAGGUUUCUUUCUUUAUCCCUGAGAAGCAUGCUUUUAUUGGGAUAUGAAAUAUAAAAAAGUUGAAUUUUCUUUAAUGUGAAAGGGUGUUCUCCAAUUCUGAAACUAGGAUAAAUGUUCAUUGACAAAGGAAAAGCUUCAUACAAUAACUUCCAAGCUUUUAGGAAGCCGAGUAGCUUCACUCAACCUAAUAAUGUAUUGAGAUGUUUUACUUCUCAAAAACGGUUGGUAAGCUAGAAAUAGUGAAGGUAUUUGUGAAUCUGACUGGAAUAUCAUGUAAUAUCACUGAUAUCUCAUUCUGUUACAUUUCCUAUUUUUCAAUGUUCUUAUUUGCUUUUCAAUUCUGUGAAGUCAUCCAGAAAGUUUUCUUAAAAAGGGAAACUGACUUUACAUAUAAUCAUAACACUUCAAGAAUUUCCUACUUUAUCUUCAAACAUGUUCCUGUAUGCAUAACUCAAAGAUGAUGUUGGCAGGAUGGAACUCAUUCAGAAUUAGACAGCUAAAAAUACCAUGCACAGCCAUCAACUAUGCACUCUACAAUCCUUCCAAAGUCAUUGGAACACAUUGAUAAGUAUGAGUUAGAAAUCUUGAUGCUUUAAAACAUAAAUUUUAUUCAUGAAAUGACCAGAUAUAAAUUACAGAGUUGGAGAAUUGGUGAACAUACCCUAAUUACAAGCUUUGUAUGGGCUCUUUUACUACAUGCAUAUGGUAACAUAAUUUUUUUUUCUGUAUUCUCUGAUCUUGCUGCAAAUAGAUUUUACCUUCCUACUUUCUUCUCCCAACCACUUUGUCAGAAUCAUCUCACACAAACCUCCAUGUUUUCUUUCUUUGCUACAUAAACACUGUAAUGUUAAUUUUUUCUUUUGUAACAGAGAGGUAAAAACUCCACACUAGAGCAGUGAUAAUACGGAGUUAAAAAAAAAAACACAAACAUUUUUGUCACCGAAUACCUUCACUAAAAAGACACAGUAACUAAAUAUAAAUAUGCAGAAGGCAACAUCUAACUCUGUAUUUGUGAGCAGAAUUCUUCAAAACCUUCUUGUCUAAAUGAAUCUCCUAACAAUAGAAUAUAUAAUUCUAUUAUAUAAGUAUUUCUUUAGUUAUAGAAAUACUUCCUACUGCAUCCACAUGAAUUAAUUUUUCUGUGUAAAAUACUCAUUUCUGCAACUGAAAUUAUUAGAAAUUACGUUUAAAAAGCUUGAAGACUGAAUUGAAAUAGGGAAUUUAUUUGCCACUAGCUAAAAUACAUCUCUAGCGCACAUGUAAUCUUCAACAUGUAUGUCUUGCGUGUCUUGCCACAUACUGUAGUUCACUUCCAGAGAUUUUAAUUACCACUGCUUGUUAAUCUUACUUCACUCAAGCUGUUUCAAUGCUGAUUAAAAUGUUCCUUCUUUUGCCCCUGCAUUUAGAAUCCUCUCUGGCAUACCACACUACGUACACUGACCAGAAUAUUGAAAAGUUAGUUUUAACCAGAAAUUAAGUAGUACAACUGAUUACAACAGCAAGUGAAUGCAAUAUAUUUCUUUAUGGAGUCAGCACUAUUCUUCAUCAGACAAAGACGUGCUGUCUUUGCUCAUGGCUGUCCAUUUCUCUCUGUGACAAAAUAUUUAUUGGACAUAUACUCUAACAGCACGUAUCAUUUACCCCUCAAAUACCUCUGAGGAAGUCAGGGGAAACAUUCAUCAUUAGAGUGUCUUACUUUAUCUGCACAAUUUGGAUGGCAUUUUCUUGGCAUUCAUACAACUGGCAAUGAAAUGAGAGGAUGGUACACAUUCAUUCUCUCAGUUUUUCUGUUCAGCAAGAUCAAUGGCUUGUUUUCUGGCUCAGUACAAAGAAGUAAUAUUUAUCAUAUUAUCUAUUAAAAUAAUCUUGUUCUUUUCUCUGAGAAUAAACAGGCCUCCUAUCCAGUCCAUCUGGUAAAUAUUAGCAUCUUCCUAAGCAUUCCUAGGCAUUCCAUCAUUUUUUAAAUAUAUUCCAGAAUAAUAGAAGUGAUGAUGUUGCAGUUUAACAUAUCCUAGGUUUUGAUACUACUAUCGCCUGUCUGAAGAGCAUCACUUCUUCUAAAUCAUCUUCCAACUCAAGUGACUCUUUUGGAAGUUUACAAGCUUUCAUCUCUUCCACAGAUAUAAAAGUAAAAAGUUCUCAUUUGCAAACACUGGCUUCAAGUAGAAAGUAUCAGCUAAAUAUAUAACUGUGAAACAUCCAUUCAAAAUGGUCAAAUUUUACACAUUUUAACCAGGUUUCUUAAGUUACAGAAUAUACCUGCUAAUUGAUUUGUGGUGGUGGAGAACAACCUGUAUUUAAACAGAACACCCUACUUCUGCUUUCGAAACUUUUUUGUAUAAAUCUGCAAAUUUACAAUGCACUACAGUCUAAUAAGUUAAUCAUGCAGGAUGAAGUUUUAAAGCCUUUUUACCCAAAGAAUAAAGCACACUGUGCUGGGAUAAAGAUUGCUGUCAGAAAGGUUAAGCAUAAACCAAAUUCCCAUGGCAAAUACACAGAUAACUGGUUGUAUUAGGAAGGUGUCUUGCACAAAAAGAGGAUAUACAAACAAAUAUUAACUACCAAAUUAGACAAAUAUGAGAACUGUAGUUCUUUUUUGUUUGUUUGCUUCAAUUUUCGUUAUAAAGACUAACCGCAAUUACAUGGAUAUUGCAACUUUAUAACAGAGGGAUUAGAAUGCUACAAGCAGAACAGGUUAGAGAGACUCCUUUGAUAACAUCUGCAAAUUAGCUAGACAUGAAGACCAUCUAGGGACAAUCUUUAAGCCAGAAGGCAUUAUUUUUUCAGAAUUGUGAAGAGCAGGUGAACUUCCAAGAGACUAGAAAAAUCCAAAGCAAUUGCUUAUCUUUGAAAAUGGGAGAAAACAGUAAACAAUGAAUUGCAGGACAGUCAGCCUAUCUUGAGUUUUCAGAAAACAGUAACUGAAGUGAGUACACAAUAAGGAUGGAAUCACCUCUCCUAUGAGGAAAGGUUGAGGGAACUGGGAUUGUUUAGCUUGGAAAAGAGAAGGCUCCGGUGAGACCUCAUUGUGGCCUUCCAAUAUUGGAAGGGAGUGUAAAAACAGGAGAGGGAACAACUGUUUACAUGAAUAGUGAUAGGACAAGGGGGAAUGGUUUUAAAUGGAGACAGGGGAGGUUUAGGUUAGAUAUUAGGAAGAAGUUUUCCACACAGAGAGUGCUGACGCACUGGAACAGGUUGCCCAAGGAGGCUGUGGAUGCCCCAUCCCUGGAGGCAUUCAAGGCCAGGCUGGAUGUGUCUCUGGGCAGCCUGGUCUGCUGGUUGGCAACCCUGCACAUAGCAGGGGGGUUGAAACUAGAUGAUCAUUGUGGUCCUUUUCAACCCAGGCCAUUCUAUGAUACUAUGAUUCUAACCAUCUUCUUUUGAGUAGUGCCCAGUGUUAGGACCAGAGAAAACAGGAAAAACUGGAGCACAAGAGGCUCUGUCUUUUUCACCAGGAUUUUGAAAUCCAAGCCCCAAGUUAUGCAAAUUAUCAUCUACAGAAAUUGAAUUUAAGAAGAGUAUUAGAAAACAAAGGCAGAUAGUUACCUACAGUUCCUUCUCUCCAACUACAACGAGCUGAGGAACUCAGCAGGGUCUUGUUUCUAAGCCUGGUACUAUAUCAAUAUUUUUCUUAAUAAAUUUAGUAAUCAUUUUAAAUUUGGAGAUGGCAUCACCACAGGUAAAACUACAAACGUGAAUCCUGUUAACUGAGGAUGUCAUAAAAAAAACAACAGAGCAGAACAAGUCCAAAGUACCACAUCCAGGAAAACAAGCAACAGAAACAAGGCAGAAGCCAAAUCACUGCAUGCAUCAGUUGUGUAAAUGCUAGACAACAGUUCUGCUAAGAGGGACGUAAGUGGGUCACAUGCUGAAUCUGAAGCAAACAACUCAGCAGGCAUCAUCAUCCUGCUGACACAAACAGAAGCACUGUAUAGAGGACACCUGAAUUAUUCUGCUCUCUUCAGGACUACUAAAGUGUAAGGUAACACAACAAAUAAACUUCUGUGCAUCCCAUUUAGAAACAUUUAGAGUUCAGAAAACACCAAGAAAGAUCACAACUUUGGAACACAUAACUAGUGAAAGAUAACUAAUGUAAAUGGCAUCAUAAACUUGGAAUAUCAAUGAUAGGACAAAAUUGCAGCCAAUAGUAGGCAGCAGAUUGCCAGAAAAAGAAUCAAUUUCCUACUUAGUAGCUGUAUCACAAGAAGGAUGAAAAAGUAGAUAGAUUUAUUGAGACAUAAAGAAACAUGUUUUUAACUGCAAGGAUAAAGAAGUAUUGGAGUAAAUCAAAUAGAGGACUUGUUGAAUUUCCCUAACUACAACAGUGCAAACAGGUUAGCCAGAAACCUGUACAGUCAAUUUGGGUACAGCAAGUUCUCCCUUGGGACGUCUCAAAUCUCUUCUAUAGUUCUUUUGAUUAAGCCUUCCUUGUAUGACUCAUCUAAGGUACUCUAAAGGUUUUUCACUGUCAGCACUUCUGUCUGGUCUUAGCUGAAAGAUAAGUAAAAGGAAGAGAGUCAUUCUAACAUAAAACUGAAUGUAAGUCCAAGAAUAUUUUAGAAAAGGAAAAGUGCUUGCUUAAUGGAAAAAUUAAAGUCAGUAAAAUUUCCUGAGUGGGGUGACUAUUAAGAGAUAAAUCGUUUAUUGAAAAGACAGACUGAUUAGCUUUGUCUAUCUCAGCAGGGCAUUAGCAGAAUUGAUAUCCCCAAAAACACACUUUCUCCUUCAUAGGCAACUCAGAAUCUUGUUGGCCAAUAUUCUGUCAUACCAUUAAGAUGUAUAUACGCUCAUUCCAAACCAACAAUAUGAUGGAACUUAUUACUGAAACAGCUUCUUAGUGACGUCAUGGAUUACAUCUUUUUUUACUCUCAUUGAACAGACCUUCCUGAUGUGAUGCUGGAGAUGCCUAAGGAGGGAUGCCUCUAUCUGCAUCUUCCAUAACUCAAUCUGCUCUAGGAAUACAUGGUUUUGCUUAAACAGGCAUGCCCAUAUAAAUAAAAAUAACAACAACAAAACCAAACAAACCCACAAAUACUAGCCCAGUUCAAGAGAAGCUGUCAUAAAGUAAGAAAAUAAAAGCCAACCAAAACAUGUUAGCCCACACCACCUUCUGAAGCAGUCUUGACUGUAAACAUUUAGAGAAAGGAUUACAACUUAUUAUGCAGCUGAUGCUUAAAAAAUCAACAUGAAGUGAGUAGGCAAGGGUGGCCAUGGAGAAUGCUAACUACUUAUUAAGAGGACUACAUUUAUAUCCAUUAAGCUAGGUUAGAAGCAAUACUUUACGCUAUACUUUUUAAAAUCACAGAUAGCGUUCAUGAUACUACAGUAUUUCAGUGGACUGUUGGUUUCGGUGUCUUACUGAAAAAUUAUUUCACUACUCAGUUGCACAAACUUAGUGGACAUUAGACAAUCCCAGUUCGAAUUGAUCUUCAAUGAAACAAACGUAAUUAUAAUGAACAAUGAGGUAGCUUAAGUGAAGAAGCGUAGAAUCUAAGAAUGAGGGACGUCUCAUUUUUUGAAUCUUAGACCCAUUUAAUUUUCUGUUCUACAAAGUGAGGUUCAAGGAAAAUCUCCAGUUCUGUAUCUUUUCCAUUAAUUAAAUAUAUAUAUAUUUAUGUCAAAUGUGAAGCUAUGUUUUUAAAAAUAAAAAUAAAAUUCUCCUUAGUACUUGAAGAGAGCUGUCAUAUGGGUUGACAAAAUACUGGGCUGCUUCUCUGUCGAAGUCAUUUCACAACUAUGAAAGAUGAAAAAAUAAUUAAUUUAACAAGUUUUUCUAUAUUAUUCUUUAUGAAUCAUUCACAAUUUCUCAGAUAAGGUUGUUAUUUAAAGUCUUAUUUCUCUGAAAUAUGCAUUUAGAAGUCUGGGAUUAUUCAAUAUUUAAGAGUGUUCCUAGUCUUGGAAGAGAUGCAACACUCAGAAGCUGUUCCUGAACAGAUAAGGAACAGCUAACAGUAAAGACACGAUGCUCAGCCAAUGUUUAAUUACUUAUUUUCUAUAAAUAUCUCAAAAAGACAUUCAAUUUUCUGAGAAGUCAUCUCAACAUUUUAUUCUUAUAUUAAUAUUUUCAAAAAAGAACCCAAAAAAACCACCCCUAACUAAGAAUUCCAAACAAGCUGAAGCCAAAAGUUAAAUUAAAGAUCACACUUAUUUGCAGGAAAUAUUUCUAUCUUCCUCGAGACAUUCAAAGACAAAAUUUGACUUCUGUCUUGCAAACUAACUCAAGAACAAGUAUGUCGAUCUUGUUUGACGUUCCAAACAUUGAAUUAGGAAGUAAUGCAAGCAAAAAAAUCCAAUGCCUGAAAUUGUUUCCAUUCAACCAGUAUUUGGAUCCCAAGAAGUUUUUGCAGAACAUCAUGAAGCUGCUUGAUAACCAAAAUGCAGAAAAACUGAGGGCAAAAUUUCCUUGCAGUAACUUUCCUAUUUGUUCCCAACGUAGCUGUCGUUUUGCCAUUGUCUGUCCCAGCUUCCCAUACGUCUGUUUCUCCCACAAAAAAGUCUCUGCACUUUCUCUGACACCAUGUCCUAUGAAUAGAAAGUCUCUCCCUGGGGCCAUCUGCAAAAAGCAGCUUUCUCCUCUGUAUGAUUCCCCUAUGAUUUUAUAGUUUAACUAUUGCAAUUGGGAUGAUGUAACACAAUGCAAAACAAACAGAUCGGCAAGAGAUGUAAAGCAUGGCCAGGCCUAAACUGGAAACCAUCACUGCCAGAAGUGUUGUGGGGCUCACAGCUGCUGACAUCGCUCCUGGGAUGCGUGCGCGCUGAAGCUUUGCUGGCAGCUGCACUGCUGGCCGAGGUUUGUAGCAUGUGGUUCUAUUUAGGUGCCACAAGCUGGGCUUUGUUUGCUUACUCCCCGUUUACAUGUGCCUGCAUGCAAACCUGUGGAGAUAAAAGGUAAUUCUGGUUGCCAAUACCCUGUUGUGUAGAUCAGGC
rnacentral:lncRNA from 1 species